rnacentral:rRNA from 1 species
AUGCAAAUCGGAAGGGUGGUGGUGGUGGUGGUGGGGGGGGGGGCAAUACCUUGCUGGCGACGGCUGCGGAGACAAGAGGAGUCCACGGGAUGGCGAGGCGAGUCCAGAUGGGGGCGAGUGGAUCCAGGCAGCGGAGGCGGUGGCGGCAGCGCGGCGACGAACUCUGCGUUCGCCGCUGAAUCCUUGAUCCAAUCUGCUGCACAACAAAUGGCAAGAGAGAGCGCUAGUUGUUUAGGGUUACGACUUUGUGAGUGCUGGAGUGGGCCUGUACUAGGCUUCGGCGCCGUCCCGGCAUUUUUUUUUUUGUUUUAG